AUCCUCGUAGCUCAAAUGGUAGAGCGCUACAAUGUUAAUGUAGUCGUUGCAGGUUCAAUGCCUGCCGAGGGUG
rnacentral:tRNA from 1 species